CUGCCAGUGAACAUGACAGAGGACAGAAACAAGAGAAAGCUGGUGCAUCACGGCCUUGAUGGAAGCCCUGGGACAGUGGGACAUACAGGUACAGGGAGCCAUCCCGUCCUCAGAAGUUUAAGGAGGCUGUGCCAACAGAAUGCUAAGCUUUAUCUUUGGCCCUGGCUCCUUUUGCUCCUGACUGGACUCUCUGGAUGGACUCUGGACCUGGUCCAUCACAUCACCUUGUCUUGGACUCUUGAUGAGUGCUGUUACCAGUGGCUGGCUGUGUCCAUGGUGUUCAGGCUCUGUGAGACUGUGUCCUGUCAGUGAGGGCACUGUCUGCCCUGGGGCCAUCUUCAGCUCCUGGUUUGCCCACCCUCAUGGAGUAGCCUUGCUCUUACAGCUCCCUCAAGAUCUGCUGGCUUUGCUGAAUGAACAGCCGAUGAAUAAAGCAAGAACUACAACAGUCA
rnacentral:lncRNA from 1 species